UACGUAGGCAGCAAGCGUUGUUCGGAAUUACUGGGCGUAAAGAGUGUGUAGGCGGCAUUGCAAGUAGGGUGUGAAAGCCCUCGGCUCAACCGAGGAAUUGCGCUCUAAACUGCAGUGCUUGAGGAACCUAGAGGUGAGCAGAACAGAUGGUGGAGCGGUGAAAUGCGUUGAUAUCAUCUGGAAUACCGGAGGCGAAGGCGGCUCACUGGGAGUUUUCUGACGCUGAGGAACGAAAGCCAGGGUAGCGAACGGG
rnacentral:rRNA from 1 species